GUUGUACUCCCUCCGUCCGGAAAUACUCGUCGGAGGAAUGGAUGUAUCUAUAUCUAUUUUAGUUCUAGAUACAUUCAUUUUUAUGUAUUUCUACGACAAGUAUUUCCGGAAGGAGGGAGUACUUU
rfam:Triticum aestivum genome assembly, contig: Triticum_aestivum_CS42_TGACv1_scaffold_594552_7BS